rnacentral:rRNA from 1 species
AACGAACGCUGGCGGCAGGCUUAACACAUGCAAGUCGAGCGCCCCGCAAGGGGAGCGGCAGACGGGUGAGUAACGCGUGGGAAUCUACCCAUCUCUACGGAAUAACGCAUGGAAACGUGUGCUAAUACCGUAUACGUCCUUCGGGAGAAAGAUUUAUCUGAGAUGGAUGAGCCCGCGUUGGAUUAGCUAGUUGGUGGGGUAAAGGCCUACCAAGGCGACGAUCCAUAGCUGGUCUGAGAGGAUGAUCGGCCACACUGGGACUGAGACACGGCCCAGCCGCCGACGGGAGGCAGCGGUGGGGAAUAUUGGACAAGGGGCGCAAGCCUGUACCAGCAAUGCCGCGUGAGUGAUGAAGGCCCUAGGGUUGAAAAGCUCUUUCACCGGUGAAGAUAAUGACGGUAACCGAAGAAGAAGCCCCGGCUAACUUCGUGCCAGCCGCCGCGGUAAGAC